CCUACGGGAGACAGCAGUGAGGAAUAUUGGUCAAUGGGCGCGAGCCUGAACCAGCCAAGUCGCGUGAGGGAAGACGGUCCUAUGGAUUGUAAACCUCUUUUGUCGGGGAGCAAAAGACGCCACGCGUGGCGUUCUGAGAGUACCCGAAGAAAAAGCAUCGGCUAACUCCGUGCCAGCAGCCGCGGUAAUACGGAGGAUGCGAGCGUUAUCCGGAUUUAUUGGGUUUAAAGGGUGCGCAGGCGGAAGAUCAAGUCAGCGGGAAAAUUGCGGGGCUCAACCUCUUCGAGCCGUUGAAACUGGUUGUAUUGAGUGAGUGAGAAGGAUGCGGAAUGCGUGGUGUAGCGGUGAAAUGCAUAGAGAUCACGCAGAACUCCGAUUGCGAAGGCAGCACACCGGCGCUCAACUGACGCUCAGGCACGAAAGUGUGGGUAUCGAACAGGAUUAGAUACACUGGUAGUC
rnacentral:rRNA from 1 species